UACGAGGGGGGCGAGCGUUGUUCGGAAUUAUUGGGCGUAAAGGGCGCGUAGGCGGUGCGACGUGUCUCCUGUGAAAUCUCCAGGCUCAGCUUGGAGUCUGCAGGAGAAACUGUCGUGCUUGAGUACUGGAGAGGUGAGUGGAAUUCCCGGUGUAGCGGUGAAAUGCGUAGAUAUCGGGAAGAACACCCGUGGCGAAGGCGGCUCUCUGGGACGGUACUGACGCUGAGACGCGAAAGCGUGGGGAGCGAACAGG
rnacentral:rRNA from 1 species